CAAAACUGCAGGAGGUUGAGAUACAAAGACACUUGGAACUAAUCAACAAACCCGCUGUUAAAUCUAUCAAGAGUCCAGAUGGAGAUAUAAUAGAUUGUGUUCAUAUCACCAAUCAACCCGCUUUCGACCAUCCUUUAUUAAAGAACCACACUAUUCAGUUGAGACCAAGUUUUCUCCAAGAAGAUCCUUCAUCAAAAACCGAUGGCAUAGCUCAAGUAUGGCAUAGGAACGGAGAAUGCCCAGAGAACACCAUUCCGAUAA